rnacentral:lncRNA from 1 species
UGGGUCUGCCAGUCCUCAGGGCGCCGUGGCUCACACCUGUAAUCCUAGCACUUUGGGAGGCCAGGGAGCUUGCUACAAAAUGCACAUUGCUAUACCAUAGCCUGGGGCUUGCAAUCCAAGGCUGGCAAGGAUUCCUGCACGUCAAGGGCCUCAGGUGACUUUCAUGCACACCCAAGUCAGAAGGCUCUCCUGAAUCCUGGAUGUCACCUUCCUGCCCAAAAAAGGAGGAACGAGGGUCAACCAGCAGCAGACCAGUCACAAAAAGAGAUGAAAUGUGAGUGCAUGGCCUUCCUGACACCCAGACAAAACUUUGGGCACAAAGCCAGGCUGCAGCUCUGGCCACUGACUUGGACCAGGGAUGCCCCCAUGCAGGCCGGUGUGCCCUGGCUGCUCUUGACACCCUCUGGCUCCUGACACCCUCUCUUCGGCUGCCUGCGUUAGGAAGGGAGAACCUGCCAGUUUUCAGAAGAAAAUGUAGCUUUAUUAUAACAUAGGAAAGACUGCAAGUUAUUACGGGAGGAGGAGGAGGCCUGAAACAGCUCCUGAAAAUGAGAGGGAAAAGGAAGGUGUAAAUAUGUUGGUAAUAAAAUCUCCAACCACAGCAUAGUCAUGGGAAUGUUUUUGUUACAAUUUUUGUUCUCAAGGUUAUAGUAAACAAAACAGUCACUUGAAUUGUCAAAAGAGCAGCAGUUUUGCACAAUGAAAAGCAUACACACCAAGCCAGAAUACAAUAGCACUCAGGUCUAUAUGUUGCAGUGGUCCUAGUGCCAGAGGAAACCUCCAGGGAGUUUGUAGUGACCCUCCAGGGAGCCCAGGCCCAUGGAGGGCCCUGGGGCUGGAGGGAGGCCAGCAAACCACUCAGCUCAAAGCACUCCCUUCAGGCACCUGAAGAGGGAAAGCCCAUGUGUCUUCCUGUGAAGCACUGAAUGGGCAGCUGGCAUCUCAGAAAUGCAGGCGAUUUUUCAUACACUGGUGUGAAUGAGUCUGGGGCACCCAGGGGGUCCCGCAGUGGUCAGACA